CGAGUUGGCCGGGCGGCCGCGGCCCACCUAUCGGUGGGUCGAGGAAAGUCCGGACUUCACAGAGCAGGGUGAUUGUUAACGGCAAUCCGGGGCGACCCGCGGGACAGUGCCACAGAAAACAGACCGCCUCCCUUGGGAGGUAAGGGUGAAACGGUGCGGUAAGAGCGCACCAGCAUCCCGGGUGACCGGGAUGGCUCGGUAAACCCCACCCGAAGCAAGGCCAAGAGGCCGCACUUGUGCGGCUGCGCAGGCGCUCGAGGGCUGCUCGCCCGAGCCUGCGGGUAGGCCGCGUCAGGCAUCCGGCGACGGGUGUCGCAGAUGGAUGGUCGCCGCCGCUGCGCAGCGUGCAGUGGAACAGAAUCCGGCUUACAGGCCAACUCGUCCG
rnacentral:RNase_P_RNA from 1 species